AGAGUUGUAGUUCAGUGGUAGAGCAUCUGCUUUGCAUCUGGAAGGACUCUGGUUCAACCCCCAGCAUCUCUC